rnacentral:rRNA from 1 species
UACGUAGGUGGCAAGCGUUGUCCGGAUUUACUGGGCGUAAAGAGCGCGCAGGCGGUCGUUCAAGUCGCGUGUGAAAGCCCCCGGCUCAACUGGGGAGGGUCACGCGAUACUGAUCGACUCGAAGGCAGGAGAGGGUAGUGGAAUUCCCGGUGUAGUGGUGAAAUGCGUAGAUAUCGGGAGGAACACCAAUGGCGAAGGCAGCUCGCUGGGACGUUACUGACGCUGAGACGCGAAAGCGUGGGGAGCAAACAGG